UGGUUCCCAACAUGAUUAACAGCUGCUGCAGAGAAACCCCCUUUGCAGGCUUCUCAGGAAUAGCUCUGACAAGGAGUUCCUGCUCAUUUCAGCAACUCCAAAAAUUGCAGCCUGAUGAGUUUAAACUGGCCAGAAAGGGUUCAUGGCUGAUUUUGGUGGUUUCUGGCAGACUGAGCAUCACCGAGCAUGUUCUGGUGCUCUGCAUUCAGCCCCAGCAAACAUCCCGUGCCUGCUCUGCAUGCCUCUAGCUGAAACUGGCACCCAGCUGUCACAGGAAUGGCAUGGUAGGGAGCACUCCCAUAUGGAGAGACUCAAGAUAUGUCAGUUUGAUUUUGUUUCCUAUUCUCACUCCAGAAACUAUUAUGCCAAGCCACAGAAACCCAGGAACAAUUUUGCACUUUCCAGACCGUACUGAUCCAACAUGCAAAGCCAAAGUUUAAUUCCCUUGCAUCCUUCCCACACUUGUUGUCUGCUUUCAAAGUUUUCAGAAGUCUCUUGUUUGGGAGCACUGGUGGAGCACUGUGAGGUUUUCUAACCCCAGAGCCUAUCUCAGAGACAAAAGCACUGUUCCUUUAACUCCUCUCCCCUCAGUGCUUUGUUUAGGAUUAUUAUCUCAUGUGGAUAAUUAAUUCUCUUGAACGUCAGCAUCUGGCCCUGGGUGGGAGCUGUGCUGGAGAGAGCAGCAGAGCACAGGAUUGGGUUAUAAGGUGCUAGAACACCUGUUUGUGCCUUUUGUGAUCUUCCUCAAGUCUGUAAAGAAGGAGAGGGAAGGAGAUAGGGUCUCUACUCUGCCCCAGAAAGGUGCCUGUGGGGCACAGAAAAGUCUCCAAGUCAGAUUCCCAUGGAUGAAACCAUCUGCCUGCCUUGGGCUGGUCUGAAUGCUGCCUGCAGAAUGAGCUGCAGCACCACCCUGUUUAUCAGUGCCUCCCCUGCACUGAUAAUCACAGAAAAGCCUCUCCUUCAAGACCUUCUCCCACACCACGCUGAGUUGAAAGAGGGACCAAGUAUUCUCCUUUCAGAUGAAGGCAGCAGCACUGAGCUCCCAGCAAUGCCCCUCUGGACUCGUGUUUGCCGAAGGACUGAUGAAUUUGUCAUUGCUGCUGUGUCAAGGACAGGCUGAUGGAAGGUGCUGCAAACACCAAAGGACACAUUCCGGGGAAGGUAGCAAGGCCUGAGAGAGUGAAGGAGCAGCUUUAAGGGUAAAGAGGCACUUCCAGAUCUGUGCUGGGGGCACCUGGCUGGCUGGGAGUUGGGGUCCAUGUGUGCCUCAGCCUGGUGCUCCUCACUGUGGCCUCUGGCAAGACCAUGGAGACUGGGAAUGCUGCUGAACAGUUGGUGUAGUAUCUGUGCAAGAAUGUUGUCACCCUGAUUUAUUUAUUUUAAUCCAUAUUUUAGACAAAGCACCUACAGAGUCUAUGGAAAAGACUGGGACCAGGGCUUCAGCAUCUUCUGCUUCCCAGUGGCUAAGUGAGUCUGGUGGGGGAGCAGCACCAUGCAACCACCACGGUAGGACGGGAAACUGGGAAGUGAGCUCAGGUUUAAUCAGCUCAGGAUCCCUGUAAGGGUUUCAAACUUUCAGGAUCUGCCCUGUCCAAGACACUCUGCCUUGGCCAUCCAGAGCCAGUGAUGAUGAUAUUAGUGCAGGGAGGGCUCUCAACCCCCUGGGGAAUCCAGAGAUCCUGACAAGUGGGAAGACAAGAGGUUUUCCACCUUCUAUUUGCUGAAUUAGCAGCUCCCAAUAACUGAGAGGGACCAAUCUCAUCCUUCUCUGCCCUCGUCCUUGCCCUUACUGUUAUUUUCCCAUCUGUGUGAUCACAAGAAAAAGCCAGUUUGACUUGCCAGCAAAGUGUUUAGUUAAUAUUUCCUGAGUACAAGUUUCCUGCCACUGUAGUCAACUAAACCUGCCCACUGUGCUAGCAAACAGGUUUUGGAGCCAGCUGAAGGUGAGAAGAAACACGUGGCUGUCAGAGACAGGAGAGAGGAUGCAGCCUCCCCUUUUCAGCAGCACAAGGGAUACAAUCAGCUCAACCUGUAAAUGUUAAUCUGCAGCCUACACUACUGUGGCUUCUCUGCAGACAAGCCUUUAACUUUGGUCAUCCCCUCCAUACGUGCAGCCUCGCACAUCUUCUUACACCAGGUAAUGAGUACUGUCCUGCUCAGUGAACAUAAUUCAUACUCUGUGGUCUUGGACUCCCUGCCUUUGCUCUUGCAUGACUGAGUGUCCCUUUGUGCUAAAAAA